rnacentral:rRNA from 1 species
UACGGAGGGGGCGAGCGUUAUUCGGAAUUAUUGGGCGUAAAGGGCGCGUAGGCGGCUGUACAAGUCAAAGGUGAAAUCCCUCGGCUCAACUGAGGAACUGCCUUUGAAACUGUACGGCUUGAGGCCGGGAGGGGGUAGCGGAAUUCCCAAUGUAGCGGUGAAAUGCGUAGAUAUGUGGAGGAACACCGAUGGCGAAGGCAGCCCCCUGGGCCAACACUGACGCUCAGGCACGAAAGCGUGGGGAGCAAACAGG